UACGAAGGGGGCUAGCGUUGUUCGGAAUUACUGGGCGUAAAGCGCACGUAGGCGGGUUGUUAAGUCAGGGGUGAAAUCCUGGAGCUCAACUCCAGAACUGCCUUUGAUACUGGCAACCUAGAGACUGGAAGAGGUUAGUGGAAUUCCCAGUGUAGAGGUGAAAUUCGUAGAUAUUGGGAAGAACACCAGUGGCGAAGGCGGCUAACUGGUCCAGCACUGACGCUGAGGUGCGAAAGCGUGGGUAGCGAACAGG
rnacentral:rRNA from 1 species